AAACAUGUCUUUUUGAAAUAUAUUUAAAGUCUGACCUGCCCACUGAAUUAUUUUAAAUGGCCGCAGUAUUUUGACUGUGCAAAGGUAGCAUAAUCAUUAGUCUUUUAAUUGAAGGCUGGUAUGAACGGUUGGACGAAGUAUAAGCUGUUUCAUAUAAAUUUUUAAUAGAAUUUUAUAUUUUAGUUAAAAAGCUAAAAUUUUAUUAAAAGACGAGAAGACCCUAUAAAUCUUUAUAUUUAGGAUUUAACUAAAUUUUUUUGAUUAAGUUUAUUUUUUUAAUACUAAUUAUUUUGUUGGGGUGAUAUUAAAAUUUAAUGAACUUUUAAUUUUUUAAAAUCAUUAAUUUAUGAAUUAUUGAUCCAUUAAUAAUGAUUAUAAGAUUAAGUUACUUUAGGGAUAACAGCGUAAUUUUUUUUGAGAGUUCAUAUCGACAAAAAAGUUUGCGACCUCGAUGUUGGAUUAAGGUAUAAUUUUGGGUGUAGCCGUUCAAAAAUUAAGUCUGUUCGACUUUUAAAUCCUUACAUGAUC
rnacentral:rRNA from 1 species